rnacentral:rRNA from 1 species
AGUGGCGGACGGGUGAGUAACGCGUGGGAAUCUGUCUCCGGGUGGGGGAUAACGGUGGGAAACUAUCGCUAAUACCGCAUGAUACCCGAGGGUCAAAGGCGCAAGUCGCCUGGAGAGGAGCCCGCGUACGAUUAGCUUGUUGGCGGGGUAAGGGCCCACCAAGGCGACGAUCGUUAGCUGGUCUGAGAGGAUGAUCAGCCACACUGGGACUGAGACACGGCCCAGACUCCUACGGGAGGCAGCAGUGGGGAAUAUUGGACAAUGGGCGCAAGCCUGAUCCAGCAAUGCCGCGUGAGUGAAGAAGGUCUUCGGAUUGUAAAGCUCUUUCGACGGGGACGAUGAUGACGGUACCCGUAGAAGAAGCCCCGGCUAACUUCGUGCCAGCAGCCGCGGUAAUACGAAGGGGGCUAGCGUUGCUCGGAAUGACUGGGCGUAAAGGGCGCGUAGGCGGUUCGUACAGUCAGACGUGAAAUUCCCGGGCUCAACCUGGGGGCUGCGUUUGAUACGUACGGGCUUGAGUUCGGAAGAGGGUCGUGGAAUUCCCAGUGUAGAGGUGAAAUUCGUAGAUAUUGGGAAGAACACCGGUGGCGAAGGCGGCGACCUGGUCCGAUACUGACGCUGAGGCGCGAAAGCGUGGGGAGCGAACAGGAUUAGAUACCCUGGUAGUCCACGCCAUAAACGAUGAGAACUAGACGUUGAGAGGGUAAGCCUCCCAGUGUCGCAGCUAACGCGCUAAGUUCUCCGCCUGGGGAGUACGGCCGCAAGGUUGAAACUCAAAUGAAUUGACGG